UUUGCCCAAUGCACACUACUAUACUUUACACGUUAUCAACAACAACAAAAAUCCCAGGAAAAUUUAGCUGUAUCCUGAGCUUGUUUCCACUGAUUGUUGGUAACUAUAAGGUGUAGAGAGCAUUGCAGCUUCAGCUACAAGUGCUUCUUCCCCCUUACCAGUUGGAUAGACCUGUGUUUUUUCCAAAUCAAGGAAUCUUCAGUUGAUAGAGCAUCUGGAGACAGAAUGGCCCUUGUGCCGAAGAAAUGUGGAAUAAGGGUGGAUCCGCCAACCCUCAUUGUGACGUACAUCGAUGAACGGUCGGGGAAGAAACGCCAGAGGUCAUUGCCACUUCGUAAAUUCACCAAGCAGUCCAACGUCGACGACGCCAUUCAGGAUCUGAAGUUCAAGCCCAAGCACCGGGAGCUGAUUGAACAGAUCAACCGACGGCAGCUGGAGAAGCUUCUCAGGGUCAUCCAAGAGCGGCAGGAUGGUAGAAGGCUCGAUGACGCCAUCAAGAAGGUGGAGAAAGAGAUGGAGAUUGUCAUUGACCCAAAUGAGAACCUCAACACCUUGGAUGACAGGGCCCUCAGCGAGAAGAAGGCGAUCAUGGAUGAGACCUUUGAGAAGAACCGUAAGAAGCCUGGUGAUCCUGGAUUCCAGUAUGAAGUUGAGAUUGACUUUGAGAAGGAAGGUCCACCGAUUGAAUCAAGUGGCUGGGAUUCUGAAGAAGACUCAGAUCCGUUGUUUUAGGAACAAGUGGUCAAAGACUCCCUGCUCUGUGAAAACUUGUCAAUCAAUAGAAGAUUUUUAUUUGAAUAGAGAGUAAAUGUAUUAUACUUGGAUAUAUUUCAGUAAAGGACAUAGAAGCUUUGCUAAUUGCUGACUGUAUUCAGGCCGAUUGUAUUCAGAAACGAAGCAUUUCAAAAUCAAUGGUGCUUGCUACUUUUAAUGUAUUCAUCGCUGAUGAUGGCACUACUGUAUGUUACAUUAUACCAUGUCAUUUUAUCCACAGUGGUCUAUAUUCUGAAACCUUCCAUUGCCAUAAAGUUAGACUUACAUCUUGGUUGAGCUGAAGGUCAGAAUACAGGCCGGUGUUUUAAGCCCCUACGCAAAGAAAUUAUGCUGGUAUAUUCCGAUGGUCACACAAUUUUGUAAUUAAUCUGUUUACACAGACUUCUGCUAAUUUAUCAGUUAUUGAUUCAUGUCAUGCAUAAUUUUGUUAGAACUUUUAGCCUCUUUUGACGUAUUAAUUAUCUGAUAAACCUUUAAAAUUCAUGUACGUGGAUUAUCAAAUAUAUUCUGUCUUUUGCUUUGGGCGUCUAUUUCAUUCCUUAGUUGUGUCAUCAGAAAUUUUGAAUUGUCAUAAAUUAUAACGCUGUUACUGAACUUCAUUGUUCUACAUUUUGGAGAACUUUACCUCCCCUUGGCAGGUUACAAAUUAUUUAUGACCCUGUGGCAUAACUUUGCCAUGCAAACAGGAUGCAAAAAACUCCUUUUAUUCAUGUUCCAUGGUGCAUCGAUUUGCGAUUUUGUUUUGAUAAUUUAUAUGCUGCAUAUUUUUAUAUUUUUUUUAUACCUAUCUUCUAAACUUGUGUGAUUACAUGUAAUAUAUAUCCCAAAUUAAUCAUUUGCCUAGCUUGUUUUCAGCAUGUCAUAUUCAGUAUAAUACAAAAAUGUGUCCACAAUUUACUGCAGCACAUGAAGAUAAUACCACUGAAGACAUAAAAAGAUGUCAUACAUGUACAUGUAAAUAGGGUUGUCUUCAGUUUCUUUUUUGUACUGUUAAUUUCAUCAUAAAUUCAAACAUGAUUACAGAAGUAACAAAGUUGGUUGCAAAUAUACGGUGGUGCUCAAAAAGUUGUUGGACAUGUACCAGAAAAUGAACAUAUAUUUAAAUUGUUCACGUUCUGCCAUUUUUAAAGAAAAUUAAUUGUGAAGUCAGGUGAUAAAAAAUAUUGUACUGUACAUCCAAUAGUGUAUGUACAUGUACAUGAAUCUGUGGGCUCAUUACCGGACAUUGUAGUGUUGUUUACACUCAGCACUCGGCAUGAAGGAGUGUGUAUUGUGGUGCGGUUUACCAUUACUUUUGAACAACGUGUACAGUAUUUAUUGCAAGUAAAACACCCCCAAAUGUGGCCAUCCUUUGGCAUACAGCCUACACGUAGGUGUGAUAAUGUAGCAUAUUGAGUCAGAAUGUAAUAUCAUUGUUAAUUUCAAUGUAAACAGCCUCAUUGAAUAGUGUUCUAAGUACAUGCAUUCCCAUCAAUUUUUGUUGUUGUUGAUAAUAACAGAACUUUUAUAUAUAUAUUGAGCUACAAUUUAUUUUUGUACUUUCAAUUCAAUGAUUUAUUUGAAAUGCCAUUUUAACUAAAUUGCAUAUUUCUUUUUUCUAUUAAUUUCUCCGUAUUCACAGUGUUCAAAUUUAAUUUGAGGAUUGAUGAGUUUGGAAUUUCCAGAUGAGGGACAUGUUGCAGGAAAUAUUAUGUACAAUCAAAUUCAACUAAAAAAAAAUAAACAACAUCUUGAUUUACAAGUAAUACUGUACAUGCAAGAAUUGCACAUUGUGGAUCAGUUUGAUAUUUACAUUUUUUAAAGCAUACAUCUAAUUCUUUCGCAAAGAGCCCCAGCGUAUAUUUGAUAUUGAUGAAGACAUUCAAAGCACACUCACAAAGUCAAUUUGAUUUAGUCUAGUUCAGAAUGCAAACAAAAAGAAAUUUGAUAAAUGGGUAACUGCACACUGAUUUGCUUAAUUAUGCAAGGUUGUACACUUUAAAUAUUUAACUUUCAUGUAAUAUGCACAAUGUACAGUUAUGUGUAAAAAGUUACUUUUUCUUUGAAAAAAAAAGAAAAUCAGAAGUCAAAGAGGUACACAAACUAUGUGUAAAAAUGUAAGGUUGAUCACAAUAAUUUACAACCAUAUAGUGCAAUAUUUAAUGUUGGAUGACUGAUGAUGCAGUGUAUGUACAGUACAUAAACAUGUAUCAUGCAGAGCUGCCAAGUAGUACUGAUUUUCAGUAUUUAUUACUGAAAAGU
rnacentral:misc_RNA from 1 species